UGCUGAAUCAUUCACAAUGGGCGAAAGCCUGAUGAUGCGACGCCGCGUGGAGGAUGAAGGCCUUCGGGUUGUAAACUCCUGUCAGGGGUUCGGAAAAAAAUGACCAACCCCAGAGGAAGCACUGGCUCAACUCGUGCCAGCAGCCGCGGUAAUACGAGUGGUGCAAGCGUUGUUCGGAAUCACUGGGCAUAAAGGGUGCGUAGGCGGUUUUGCGAGUCAGCUGUGAAAUCCCUCGGCUCAACCGAGGAAUGGCAUCUGAUACUGCCAAGCUUGAGGAUAGAAGGGGAGAGCGGAAUUCCAGGUGUAGCGGUGAAAUGCGUAGAUAUCUGGGAGAAGGCCGGUGGCGAAGGCGGCUCUCUGGUCUAUUUCUGACGCUGAGGCACGAAAGCGUGGGGAGCAAACA
rnacentral:rRNA from 1 species